rnacentral:lncRNA from 1 species
AAAAUUAUGAUCCAAUUGAUAAUCUUUAGUACAGUUCCAACUUAUAGAAGUAAAUGUGCUUUUUCAGUGUAGCUAUUUUCAACAGCCUGGGAUGACGCCCAACAUGUCUAUCAGAAUCUUAUCCUUGUUACAAACGUGGGCUAUGGAGUAGACAAAUGCUUGAGAGACUAUGAGCUGCAACAGUUCGCACUGUCUGCCUCAUUUCAAAGACUUAUGAGCCGGAGUUUAUCGCUUAAGACGCCAUGCAGUUGCACGAAUCCACCUUCGAGAUUCCCCUCGGGUCAUAAAGUUGUGAGCUUCCAGUAUCAUGUGGCCAUGGACUUUCACAAAUCCGACCUCAACUAUGUCCUUGUAGUUCACACUGGAUCCAACGCACAGCAAAGCAUGCC